rnacentral:rRNA from 1 species
AACGCGAAGAACCUUACCUACCUUUGAAUCCACGGAAUCUGGCAGAGAUGCUGGAGUGCCUUCGGGAACCGUGAGACAGGUGCUGCAUGGCUGUCGUCAGCUCGUGUCGUGAGAUGUUGGGUUAAGUCCCGUAACGAGCGCAACCCUUAUCCUUAGUUACCAGCGAGUAAAGUCGGGGACUUUAAGGAGACUGCCGGUGAUAAACCGGAGGAAGGUGGGGAUGACGUCAAGUCCUCAUGGCCCUUACAGGUAGGGCUACACACGUGCUACAAUGGCCGGUACAAAGGGAAGCCAACCCGCGAGGGGGAGCUAACCUCAAAAAGCCGGUCGUAGUCCGGAUUGGAGUCUGCAACUCGACUCCAUGAAGUUGGAAUCGCUAGUAAUCGUGGAUCAGCACGCCACGGUGAAUACGUUCCCGGGCCUUGUA